UGCGGAAGGAUCCAUAUUGGAUUUAUAUAUGCGAAGGAGGUGGUGUGGUAAAGAAUUAUGCCAGGUCCCCCUUCGGAAGUAUAUUAUAUAUUCCCCUGUGGACCCACCGUUGUCCGGAGGAAUUCUUACUUAGGUCUCCCUAAAAAACUUUUUUUGUAUGUUACAUAGGACGGUUUUAUUUUGGAACUUUGUUUUUUGGCCAAUUUUUUUUAAAUAAAAAAUAUACAACUUUCAACAACGGAUCUCUUGGCUCUUGCAUCGAUGAAGAACGCAGCGAAAUGCGAUAAGUAAUGUGAAUUGCAGAAUCCAGUGAAUCAUCGAAUCUUUGAACGCACCUUGCGCCCUUUGGUAUUCCGAGGGGCAUGCCUGUUUGAGAGUCAUUAAAUUCUCAACCUUACAAAUUUUUGUAUUUGUCAAGGCUUGGAUGUGAGAGUUGCUGGUUAGAGUAUAUUCUGACUGGCUCUCUUUAAAACUAUUAGUAGGACAUGUAGAAAUGCCUACGGUUGGUGUGAUAAUAUGUCUACGCCUAUACCGGAAGGGGAUUCUAGCUUGUAUGUACUACUUAUAAAAUCAUGCGCAUAUAUCUAGCAUAU
rnacentral:misc_RNA from 1 species